rnacentral:rRNA from 1 species
AUACAGAGGGUGCAAGCGUUAAUCGGAUUUACUGGGCGUAAAGCGCGCGUAGGUGACUAAUUAAGUCAAAUGUGAAAUCCCCGAGCUUAACUUGGGAAUUGCAUUCGAUACUGGUUAGCUAGAGUAUGGGGGAGGAUGGUAGAAUCCCAGGUGUAGCGGUGAAAUGCGUAGAGGUCUGGAGGAAUACCGAUGGCGAAGGCAGCCAUCUGGCCUAAUACUGACACUGAGGUGCGAAAGCAUGGGGAGCAAACAGGAUUAGAUACCCUGGUAGUCCAUGCCGUAAACGAUGUCUACUAGCCGUUGGGGCCCUUGAGGCUUUAGUGGCGCAGCUAACGCGAUAAGUAGACCGCCUGGGGAGUACGGUCGCAAGACUAAAACUCAAAUGAAUUGACGGGG